GACGAACGCUGGCGGCGUGCUUAACACAUGCAAGUCGAACGGAAAGGCCCUGCUUUUGUGGGGUGCUCGAGUGGCGAACGGGUGAGUAACACGUGAGUAACCUGCCCUUGACUUUGGGAUAACUUCAGGAAACUGGGGCUAAUACCGGAUAGGAGCUCCUGCUGCAUGGUGGGGGGUGGAAAGUUUCGGCGGGUGGGGAUGGACGCGCGGCUUAUCAGCUUGUUGGUGGGGGAGUGGCUUACCAAGGCUUUGACGGGUAGCCGGCCUGAGAGGGUGACCGGCCACAUUAGGACUGAGAUACGGCCCAGACUGCUACGGGAGGCAGCAGUGGGGAAUAUUGCACAAUGGGCGGAAGCCUGAUGAAGCAACGCCGCGUGCGGGAUGACGUCCUUUGGGUUGUAAACCGCUUUCGCCUGUGACGAAGCGUGAGUGACGGUAAUGGGUAAAGAAGCACCGGCUAACUACGUG
rnacentral:rRNA from 1 species